CGUACGGCUAAUAACCGUAAGGUCGGCGGUUCGAGACCGCCUGGGACCACUUACGUAUUUUUAAAUAAGUGAUU